rnacentral:lncRNA from 9 species
GGAAAAAUGAGAAAUAAAACUUUUGCAAAACUACAUCCAUGUCAAAACUCCCAAGCCAGACCGAUCACAAAAUCAUGAAUCAAAUGAUAAUAUUAAAUUGUAAUGUUCAUUAAAAUUAUAAUAUUAACAAAGUCAACUCCUGCUGGCUCCCAGAAAUCACUCUGGAAGGAACAUCUGAUGCUGGGUUUUCUGUUAGGUCCUUUAAGAUUUUUGGCAUCAGGGCUUUGGUUUUGAAGAUAUCUGGCGUAUUUUGUCCCCUAAAGGGAAAUCUUAUAAAGAGCUUUCAAGCGCUGCCAGUUUUUCGGUGACGAUCUGACAGUUGCAAAUCCACCGCUCUCUGCUGUGCUGCUGUGCCGCUGUGCCGAGAAGGGGACUUUGCAAACCGCCUUUUCCCGGAGCUUGGCUUGCUUCCUGCUUCUGCCGGCAGAGGGCUCUGCACGGGGCGGGCCCAGGGAGGGAGGCGGGGCCUCAUGACCGGCGGGCUUCGCCCACCCCGGAUGCGGUGGCGCCUCGCGCGGCGGCCGCCGCUGGUUGCAGCCUCCCCCUUCUUCCCGCGCUUCCAGAAGCAGCCUCGUGGGAGGCGCCGUCUUCCUCAGAAGCACCUUCUCUAAACCCCUGGUCCCAGCAGCAUCCGGGUAGCAGCGCUCCCGCCUCCACAGGAAUGAGAUGUAAGCCAGGAGGCAAGCCUGAGGCCGAGAAGCCACCAGGGAUGGCAGAGUCUCCUGCAGGAUUGAAGGUGGCCAGGGCCGAGGUCAAGGCCCCGAUGGAGGCCGCAGGCAAGGUGGAUGGAAACGAGACCAAGAGAAAAAAAUAAGCAACUUAAUAACCUACUUUUACCCAGAGAAUGGAAAAUAAAAUGCAAGAUUCCAAACCCUGCCCUUUCAUUGCAUCUUCAUCUUUGGAAAAUACAGGUGAGUGUUUAUGAAUCAUUUUCAAAGUUGACCUGGUGGCUGUGGAAACAGGAAAGUGGCCAAGACAGCAGGGCUGAUCUGAUGCAAAGAUUGUUUUAGUUUUCUUGCCAACCUAAUUGGAAUGGUAUUGUUUUCUUAUUCAUGAAUGUGAAAAACGUUGUGAUUUGGUUUUUUUUUCUCUCUCAACAACUAAGAAGAAUGGUG